AAAAACAUUUUUGUAAUUUUUAUUUUUAUGAUAAAAUAAAGUAAAAGAGUCAAAACUAGUUAAAAUAGCAAUAUUUGACUUAAUCUAAAUAUUUAAAUGCUAAAUGUGUAAAAUCUCGAGAAGGGUAAAAAAUUACAUGUCUACAACUGUCCCUCUUUGACUGGAAACACAAAGAGUUUUCAGACAUAGAACGACGAGACAGGUUUUUUGACCCGACCCUUAUUUAGAGAGAUUAAAAACUAAAAAAAAGAGAAUGUGACCGAGCCCUAGUAUCUGAGCUGCCUACAUAUCCUUGGCUAUAAAGGAAUCAUGCCACGUGUAGUUCAGAAGUGAAUGAGGUGAUGGAGUGUACCGAGGUGGAGAGCUGAGUGAGGUUUCGUUCCGCCGAGGUUCCGGCCCGCGGUCCUGUUAUUACAUCAAAAUCAAAAAUGAAAAAGACUAACUAAGCCUAUCAGAUACGAGUUACAAGAUUCCUAUCUAUGAGCCUUCUGAAGCUUGAUCUUGAGUCUUGGUUGAUUCUUCAUGCGGACUCUGGUCUGAAUCUUGACGCUUGUUAGCUGUAGGUGUUGGUUCAAUCUUCUUCAGCUUUUUCAGAUCAAGACGGGACAUGUAGAGCUUGUGACUUCAAUUAUGUCUUGAGCAGUCCACAUCUUUUCUCUACUUCUGCACUUUGGAUUAACUUUUCUUUUUUUUUCUUUUAUUCUUGAUUGAGACUUUUUUUUGGUUAUCUCGGACUGUCGACUCGCAUUUUUGAGGCGAGCUUCCACUACUUCUAUCUUGAAUUGAAUUCUGAAAUGACUUCCCUUGUUCUCUAGGUGGUCGCCUGCUACUGAAUUGAAAUUUGAAGUGAUUCUGAAAUGAAUUCCCUUGUUCUCCAGGUGGGCGCCUUCCUACUACAACAAAACAGACAAAACAAAAGAAACUUUUCUGCCCCAGUUUGCACUAGGAAGAUUUGUGAGUUGUUAGUGAAACUAUAAAUCACCUACGCUACUGAUGAAGGAUGCAAUAAUAAGAGUAAAAUUAAUGACUCGACUAGGAUGUGCGUCUCCUAAAAAUGAUUGAGCUUGUGCAACUAUAAACUAAGCUUGACUAAAGUAAAGACUAACCCUAUUCUCCAGGCGGGGCCCUUGAUUUCAAGAAAACUAAAUAUUGAUAACGUAAGAAAACUAAAAAUUGACCUUUUUUUUUCAAAUUCAGACUUCCCCCUUUUAAAAAAAAAAUAUUAUCCUAGGAGAAAAUUCAUUGGACUGAGUUUUCUAUCUUAGGAGAAAGAUUCAUCAGACUAAGAUUUUGAUUCUAGGAGAAAGUUCAUCAGAUUAGGUCUCUUUUCUUCUUAUUUUUGGUAUCUUAGGAAAAAGAUUCAUCAGACUAAGAUUUUGAUCCUAGGAGAAAGUUCCUCAGACUAGGUCUCUUUCUGGUAUCUUAGGCGAAAGAUUCAUUAGACUAAGAUUUUAAUCCUUGGAGAAAGAUUCAUCAGACUAGGUUUUCUAUCUUAGGAGAAAGAUUCAUCAGACUAAGAUUUCGAUCCUAGGAGAAAAUUCAUUAAACUAGGUCACUUUUUUGUUACCUUAGGAGAAAGAUUCAUCAGACUAGGUUUUCUAUCUUAGGAGAAAAAUUCAUCAGACUAAGAUUUCGAUCCUAGGAGAAAAUUCAUCACACUAGGUCCAUUUCUUUUGUUAACUUAUGAGAAAGAUUCAUCACACUAAGACUUUGAUCCUAGGAGAAAAUUCAUCAAACUAGGUCAUUUUUUUUGUUAUCUUAGGAGAAAGAUUCAUCAGNNNNNNNNNNNNNNNNNNNNNNNNNNNNNNNNNNNNNNNNNNNNNNNNNNNNNNNNNNGAUCCUAGGAGAAAAUUCAUCACACUAGGUCCAUUUCUUUUGUUAACUUAUGAGAAAGAUUCAUCACACUAAGACUUUGAUCCUAGGAGAAAAUUCAUCAAACUAGGUCAUUUUUUUUUGUUAUCUUAGGAGAAAGAUUCAUCAGACUAAGAUUUUGAUCCUAGGAGAAAGUUUAUCAGACUAGGUUUCUUUUCCUUCUUUUUUUGUAUCUUAGGAGAAAGAUUCAUCAGACUAAGAUUUCUAUCAUAUGAGAAAGUUCAUCAGACUAGAUUUUCUAUCUUAGGAGACAGACUCAUCAGACUAAGAUUUUUAUUAGGAGGAAAAUCCAUCAGACUAGGACUUUUUAUCCUAGGAGAAAAAAAAAUGGGAAGAUCAACGACGAGAUUUUAUGCACAAUAGCAAGGCAAAUAAAGGCAAAGAUUUGAGAAACUUCCCUUUGUCGGCUCUUCUCCUCUUUUUUUUGAACCACUUUCCUUGCACUGCUUUGUUCCUGUUUAAACAAAGAAAAUUUUUGUCAGAUUCAAAAGUGGUGGUUGGCUUGUGGCCUUGAGUCUUGAGCAGCUUGGCUUUUGCUCGAUCAGCCUGAGUCGAUCUCAAGAAACUUUUGUUCUGCACCACCUCUGAUUGUUUCACACCCAGUACCAUUUGUAUUUGUAACUCAAAUAGCCUUAUCCCAACUGGAGAUCUUUGCUUAGGUGACCUUUUUUGAUAUCUUGAAUGACUUCCUGCUUUUGAGUAAUUUGUUUGUUAGAGAGAAUCACCAGUUAUCUUUGCUUGCGCCAAAUAGGCUGACAAGAAUCUUUUGCGGGAGGCUUUUCUUGAAUCCUCAAGGCACAUUGACAGUAACAACCGAGUGUGCUGGCCAAAUUUACUUUGUGCAACUGAAAAUCUGGUAGCAGAUUUUGAAAUCUUUUCUUGCUUGUUUUGACAAGGACUGACUCGGAGUGAAGGACACAAUGAUGCAAAGAAACAAGUAUUAACAAGAAAUGCCCAUGUCGGAAGGACAGAAGGAAGAGUUUUUUUUCCUUUUCUAUUUUUUUCUUUGUUUUUUUCCCAAUAACUAGCCUUAAUAGUCAUGACAUGUAUUUUGGACUCAAUGGCCUGAUCUAUCAAACUAAUCCAAUUUUCCCUUUUGCCAUUCUUAUGACCUUUGAAGUCGGGCUUGUUUGUGUCAAUCUUUCGCAUUAUCUUCACGACUCACUUUCGACUAGUGGUGCCCCGAGGGAUUUUCACCAAUAAAUCUCUUUCAUUUGUUCAUCUCUGCUUACUGUCGUCUUACAAUGCCCGUGAGAGUUUUCACUAGUAAGACUCUCUCAUUUUUUUUCUUUUUCUCCAUUGAUUUCUUGAGCAACUUAACAGUAUUCUAUGUCGUGUGACAACCAUUGCUCAUUGCAUGCUUCUCUUUGCAUUUUUUGAAGUCAUAUCGGGAGGUCGUUAUUUGGAAUGAUUUUGGAUAGGGUUGAAAAGAAAGGACGUUAUGAUGACUCGAAAUAGACUCAAAAUAAAAGGGGGUUAUAGACUUACAACUUCUUGGAAUCGACUCUUUCAAAAGUGAAAUAAAAUCUUUGCCCCAGUUUCAGCUAUUGGGGAUUUUUUGGAAUUUUUUUUUGAAUUCUUAUUUGGUUAGACCGAACCGUGAAGCUUCCUACGUAUCCUUUUUUAAAGAAUCAGGUCGAACGUAGUUCAAACAUCUGACCUAACUAUUUUUUUUUCAUN
rnacentral:lncRNA from 1 species